GUGAGGAAUAUUGGUCAAUGGGCGAGAGCCUGAACCAGCCAAGUCGCGUGAAGGAUGAAGGUUUUAUGAAUUGUAAACUUCUUUUGCAGGGGAAUAAAGUACGGUACGUGUACCGUUUUGUAUGUACUCUGCGAAUAAGGAUCGGCUAACUCCGUGCCAGCAGCCGCGGUAAUACGGAGGAUCCAAGCGUUAUCCGGAUUUAUUGGGUUUAAAGGGUGCGCAGGCGGGUUGAUAAGUCAGCGGUGAAAGUUUGCAGCUUAACUGUAAAAUUGCCAUUGAAACUGUCAGUCUUGAGUGCAAAUGAGGUAGGCGGAAUGUGUUGUGUAGCGGUGAAAUGCUUAGAUAUAACACAGAACUCCGAUUGCGAAGGCAGCUUACUGGGAUGCAACUGACACUGAUGCACGAAAGCGUGGGUAUCAAACAGGAUUAGAAACCCUGGUAGUCC
rnacentral:rRNA from 1 species